UACAGAGGCCUCGAGCGUUAGGCGGAAUCACUGGGCUUAAAGCGUGUGUAGGCGGAUCGUUAAGUGCCUUGUGAAAUCCCACGGCUUAACUGUGGAACGGCUGGGCAUACUGGCGGUCUUGAGCCAUCUAGGGGCGACUCGAACAAACGGUGGAGCGGUGAAAUGCGUAGAGAUCGGAAAGAACACCAACGGCGAAAGCACUCUGCUGGGCCGACACUGACACUGAGAGACGAAAGCUAGGGGAGCAAACGGG
rnacentral:rRNA from 1 species